AUUUAAAUAGUUUAAUAAAAAUAUCAGUUUGUGGAAUUGGUGAUAUACUAUUCAGUAUUUUAAAUA
rnacentral:tRNA from 1 species